CCUACGGGAGGCAGCAGUGGGGAAUAUUGGACAAUGGGGGGAACCCUGAUCCAGCGACGCCGCGUGAGUGAAGAAGUAUUUCGGUAUGUAAAGCUCUAUCAGCAGGGAAGAAAGAAAUGACGGUACCUGACUAAGAAGCCCCGGCUAACUACGUGCCAGCAGCCGCGGUAAUACGUAGGGGGCAAGCGUUAUCCGGAUUUACUGGGUGUAAAGGGAGCGUAGACGGCGAUGCAAGUCUGAAGUGAAAGGCGGGGGCCCAACCCCCGGACUGCUUUGGAAACUGUAUGGCUGGAGUGCAGGAGAGGUAAGUGGAAUUCCUAGUGUAGCGGUGAAAGGCGUAGAGAGUAGGAGGAACACCAGUGGCGAAGGCGGCUUACUGGACUGUAACUGACGUUGAGGCUCGAAAGCGUGGGGAGCAAACAGGAUUAGAUACCCCAGUAGUC
rnacentral:rRNA from 1 species